UCAGAACACAAAACAUUCAGAAGUUACUGAGGAAAUGGGAUUUCAGGAAGUAUUAUUCUACAUGAACAUAUUUUAAUAGCAUCACACCCAUAUAACAUCCUUCUAAAACAACAAGAAAUGGCUGUAUUCUGUGCCCAAAUCUUCUGAGAUAGACAUUAUAUGGUUAGAGAAAUAUAAUAAAAUUGAAGGUGCAUUUUCGAAACAUAAGACAGUUCCAACAGUAAAUUCAAUCAACUGGCAAAUCAAGCUCAGGCUAAUCAAACCAAGUAAAAUUUUCAAGAAAGCCACAUGAAAAUUCUCGUUUUAUAAUUUUUUUCACAAACAAUAAUUUAAUUUAGGUAAAAAUCUCUAUAGCCAUCUCCACCAGAGCAGAUAUAUGGAGUAAAUAUGCACAAAAGACACAAAUUCUUUAAUGCAACAUUAUUGACCAUCCCAAACUUCAAAAUGACAAGAUAUCAAACUAGAAGAGCACGACAAAGAUGCCCUUCACAUGGGAACCAGAGCAAUGGAGGAAGAAGAGGACAGUAGCCGAGACAACGAGAAGGCCAUUCACAUAGUGGACUGACAUGGUGGAGGAGCACCGGUUUCCUCAGAGAGAGAAUUUUAUCAAAGGAGAGGUUUCUCACGAAGUGCAACUUUACCUCUACUCCUCUGUCAUUGGCUUGUUGUUAAAAGUGAAGGGUACUUGGGACGGUAUCCUACUUUGCAAACAUUUCAAUGCAAUAACUGAUAUCAACGAACUAAGACAAAAGUCAGUCCAGGUAGGAACUGAAAUAGACAAUAUACCUAAGGAACAUCUAAG
rnacentral:lncRNA from 1 species